rnacentral:rRNA from 1 species
UACAGAGGUGGCAAGCGUUGUUCGGAAUUACUGGGCGUAAAGGGCUCGUAGGCGGCCAACUAAGUCAGACGUGAAAUCCCUCGGCUUAACCGGGGAACUGCGUCUGAUACUGGAUGGCUGGAGAUUGGGAGAGGGAUGCGGAAUUCCAGGUGUAGCGGUGAAAUGCGUAGAUAUCUGGAGGAACACCGGUGGCGAAGGCGGCAUCCUGGACCAACACUGACGCUGAGGAGCGAAAGCCAGGGGAGCAAACGGG